AGAGUUUGAUCCUGGCUCAGAGCGAACGCUGGCGGCAGGCUUAACACAUGCAAGUCGAGCGGGCGUAGCAAUACGUCAGCGGCAGACGGGUGAGUAACGCGUGGGAACAUACCUUUUGGUUCGGAACAACACAGGGAAACUUGUGCUAAUACCGGAUAAGCCCUUACGGGGAAAGAUUUAUCGCCGAAAGAUUGGCCCGCGUCUGAUUAGCUAGUUGGUGAGGUAACGGCUCACCAAGGCGACGAUCAGUAGCUGGUCUGAGAGGAUGAUCAGCCACAUUGGGACUGAGACACGGCCCAAACUCCUACGGGAGGCAGCAGUGGGGAAUAUUGGACAAUGGGGGAAACCCUGAUCCAGCCAUGCCGCGUGAGUGAUGAAGGCCUUCGGGUUGUAAAGCUCUUUUACCCGGGAAGAUAAUGACUGUACCGGGAGAAUAAGCUCCGGCUAACUUCGUGCCAGCAGCCGCGGUAAUACGAAGGGGGCUAGCGUUGUUCGGAAUUACUGGGCGUAAAGCGUGCGCAGGCGGCUUCCCAAGUCAGUGGUGAAAGCCCGGAGCUCAACUCCGGAACUGCCAUUGAAACUGUGAAGCUAGAGGACGAGAGAGGUGAGUGGAAUUCCCAGUGUAGAGGUGAAAUUCGUAGAUAUUGGGAAGAACACCGGUGGCGAAGGCGGCUCACUGGCUCGUUUCUGACGCUCAUGCACGACAGCGUGGGGAUCAAACAGGAUUAGAUACCCUGGUAGUCCACGCCGUAAACGAUGAGUGCUAGCCGUUGGGCAGCUUGCUGUUCAGUGGCGCAGCUAACGCAUUAAGCACUCCGCCUGGGGAGUACGGCCGCAAGGUUGAAACUCAAAGGAAUUGACGG
rnacentral:rRNA from 2 species